AAUAUGUGUAUGGGUUCAAACUGAGGUUGGUGAACAAGAUGAACUGUAAUACAUUGACAUCACCUGACCUUCUCUCUAAUCAGUUCCAAAUGUUAUCUCACUAUGGACAAAACCUUCGCCCUGCAAUCCACUCUACUUUCCUGUUAACAAGUGCAUUUACCUAGCCCUGACCUAGCAGAUAUCGGAUAGUGUUCACUAGGCACCAAACAGAAGAAAAUUACCCAAAAACAGGGAGGGACUAUUACCCAACAUGUCCAAUAAGAAACGCACAUUUUAGUUUUCUGUUGCGAAAUGUUUAAAAAUGUUUUCCAUUGUGUGCCCUUAUGAACAGGAGCCAGGUCUGUAAGCCUAGCUAAGUCAAGGACCAGGGUUAAGGGUGCAUCAAGGAUUGGUCAGGCUCAGAGGUCAAGCCUGACAGAUUUCAUGCUUUAAUUUGGACUGUCAUGCUCUAGAUUACCACUGGAGAUGGAGAACUCUGAGUCAACCCAAGUAAGUCAACCUAGAACGAUGCUGACUUUGCCAGGUUUUUCCUAACAUGGUUUGUACAAAUCUCAAGAUCUUCCAGAAGAUGUGUGAGGGUGUGGAGACUACAACUCUAGGCCCAGGGUGUGGGGCUUACCUAAGGGAGAUGCCAAGUAAUCUAACAGCACCUACAUGUAUGAUAAACUACAUGUGGGUACACCAUCCAGGAAUGAAGGACCUGAGCCCUAGGACCAUGCCUCAGGACUACCUGGCAUGAUGACUCCUUGCUGUCCCCAGUCCACCUGGCCGUGC